rnacentral:rRNA from 1 species
CGGUUGAUCCUGCCGGAGGCUAUUGCUAUCAGGGUUUGACUAAGCCAUGCGAGUCGAGAGGUGAAAGACCUCGGCAUACUGCUCAGUAACACGUGGAUAAUCUGCCCUCAGGUGAGGAAUAAUCCCGGGAAACUGGGGCUAAUGCCUCAUAGGAGACGGGUGCUGGAAUGCUCUGUCUCUGAAAGGUCCGCCGCCUGAGGAUGAGUCUGCGUCCGAUUAGGUUGUUGUUGGGGUAACGGCCCACCAAGCCAUUGAUCGGUACGGGUUGUGAGAGCAAGAGCCCGGAGAUGGAUUCUGAGACAUGAAUCCAGGCCCUACGGGGCGCAGCAGGCGCGAAAACUUUACAAUGCGAGCAAUCGUGAUAAGGAAACCCUGAGUGCCUGUCAAUGCAGGCUGUUCUGGUGUUUAGUCAGCACCAGGAGAAAGGGCGGGGCAAGACCGGUGCCAGCCGCCGCGGUAAUACCGGCUGCUCGAGUGAUAGCCACUUUUACUGGGCUUAAAGCGUUCGUAGCUUGGUCGUUAAGUCUCUGGGGAAAUCUUUUGGCUCAACCAAAAGACGUCUCAGAGAAACUGGCGACCUUGGGACCGGGAGAGGUAAGACGUACUUCGGGGGUAGGAGUGAAAUCUUGUAAUCCCCGAGGGACGACCGAUGGCGAAGGCAUCUUACCAGAACGGCUCCGACAGUGAGGGACGAAAGCUGGGGGAGCAAACCGGAUUAGAUACCCGGGUAGUCCCAGCCGUAAACGAUGUGCGUUAGGUGUGUCAGUGACCACGAGUCACUGAGGUGCCGAAGGGAAACCGUGAAACGCACCGCCUGGGAAGUACGGUCGCAAGGCUGAAACUUAAAGGAAUUGGCGGGGGAGCAC